rnacentral:rRNA from 1 species
CUACGGGCUGCUCCAGUGAGGAAUAUUGGACAAUGAGCGAAAGCUUGAUCCAGCAAUAUCACAUGAGUGAGAGACAGUUCUAAUUGCAAUGCUCUAUAGUUAAGGAAGAUUAUGACGGUACUUAACGAAAAGCCCCGGCCAACCUCGUGCCAGCAGCCGCGGUAAUACGGGGGGGGCGAGUGUUAUUCUACGUAAUUCGGCGUAAAAGGUCUCUAGGCUGUUUGUAAAAUACAGUGUGAAAAAUUAAAGCUCAACUUUUGGUAAGCACUUUCAAAGGCAAACUUGAGUUUAAACAGGGAUGAUAGAAUUUCUAAUGGAGAGAUGAAAUUUCGAGAUAUUAGAAGGAAUUCCGAUAGCGAAGGCAAUCAUCUAAAUUAAAACUGACGCUGAAGGACGAAGGCGUGGGGAGCAAACAGGAUUAGAUACCCGAGUAGUC